rnacentral:rRNA from 1 species
AACGAACGCUGGCGGCAGGCUUAACACAUGCAAGUCGAACGCCCCGCAAGGGGAGUGGCAGACGGGUGAGUAACGCGUGGGAAUCUACCCAGUUCUACGGAAUAACACAGGGAAACUUGUGCUAAUACCGUAUACGCCUACGGGGAAGGAUUAUCGGAGUUGGAUGAGCCGCGUAAGAUUAGCUAGUUGGUGGGGUAAUGGCCUACCAAGGCGACGAUCUUUAGCUGGUCUGAGAGGANGAUCAGCCACACUGGGACUGAGACACGGCCCAGACUCCUACGGGAGGCAGCAGUGGGGAAUAUUGGACAAUGGGCGCAAGCCUGAUCCAGCCAUGCCGCGUGAGUGAUGAAGGCCUUAGGGUUGUAAAGCUCUUUCAGU